rnacentral:rRNA from 1 species
CCUACGGGCGGCAGCAGUGAGGAAUAUUGGUCAAUGGACGAGAGUCUGAACCAGCCAAGUCGCGUGAAGGAUGACGGCCCUGUGGGUUGUAAACUUCUUUUAUAUGGGAAUAAAACGUUCGACGUGUGGGAGUUUGUAUGUACCAUAUGAAUAAGGAUCGGCUAACUCCGUGCCAGCAGCCGCGGUAAUACGGAGGAUCCGAGCGUUAUCCGGAUUUAUUGGGUUUAAAGGGAGCGUAGGUGGAUUGGUAAGUCAGUUGUGAAAGUUUGCGGCUCAACCGUAGAAUUGCAGUUGAAACUGGCAGUCUGGAGUACAGUAGAGGUGGGCGGAAUUCGUGGUGUAGCGGUGAAAUGCUUAGAUAUCACGAAGAACCCCGAUUGCGAAGGCAGUUCACUGGACUGAAACUGACACUGAGGCUCGAAAGUGUGGGUAUCAAACAGGAUUAGAUACCCGAGUAGUC